UGGGGAAUUUUGGACAAUGGGCGAAAGCCUGAUCCAGCAAUGCCGCGUGUGUGAAGAAGGCCUUCGGGUUGUAAAGCACUUUUGUCCGGAAAGAAAUCCUCUGGGUUAAUACCUCGGGGGGAUGACGGUACCGGAAGAAUAAGCACCGGCUAACUACGUGCCAGCAGCCGCGGUAAUACGUAGGGUGCAAGCGUUAAUCGGAAUUACUGGGCGUAAAGCGUGCGCAGGCGUUUGUUAAGACGGAUGUGAAAUCCCCGGGCUUAACCUGGGAACUGCAUUCGUGACUGCAAGGCUAGAGUAUGGCAGAGGGGGGUAGAAUUCCACGUGUAGCAGUGAAAUGCGUAGAGAUGUGGAGGAAUACCGAUGGCGAAGGCAGCCCCCUGGGCCAAUACUGACGCUCAUGCACGAAAGCGUGGGGAGCAAACAGGAUUAGAUACCCUGGUAGUCCACGCCCUAAACGAUGUCAACUAGUUGUUGGGGAUUCAUUUCCUUAGUAACGUAGCUAACGCGUGAAGUUGACCGCCUGGGGAGUACGGUCGCAAGAUUAAAACUUAAAUGAAUUGAC
rnacentral:rRNA from 1 species